UACGUAGGGUGCAAGCGUUGUCCGGAAUUAUUGGGCGUAAAGAGCUCGUAGGCGGUCUGUCACGUCGGCUGUGAAAACCCGAGGCUCAACCUCGGGCCUGCAGUCGAUACGGGCAAACUGGAGUGCUGCAGGGGAGACUGGAAUUCCUGGUGUAGCGGUGAAAUGCGCAGAUAUCAGGAGGAACACCGGUGGCGAAGGCGGGUCUCUGGGCAGUAACUGACGCUGAGGCGCGACAGCGUGGGGAGCAAACAGG
rnacentral:rRNA from 1 species